UACGAAGGGGGCUAGCGUUGUUCGGAAUUACUGGGCGUAAAGCGCACGUAGGCGGGUCUUUAAGUCAGGGGUGAAAUCCUGGAGCUCAACUCCAGAACUGCCUUUGAUACUGAAGAUCUUGAGUUCGGGAGAGGUGAGUGGAACUGCGAGUCGUAGAGGUGAAAUUCGUAGAUAUUCGCAAGAACACCAGUGGCGAAGGCGGCUCACUGGCCCGGUACUGACGCUGAGGUGCGAAAAGCGUGGGGAGCAAACAGGG
rnacentral:rRNA from 1 species